rnacentral:rRNA from 1 species
UACGGAGGGUGCAAGCGUUAUCCGGAUUUACUGGGUUUAAAGGGUGCGUAGGUGGGUCUGUAAGUCAGUGGUGAAAUCUCCGGGCUUAACCCGGAAACUGCCAUUGAUACUAUAGGUCUUGAAUAUCCUGGAGGUGAGCGGAAUAUGUCAUGUAGCGGUGAAAUGCUUAGAUAUGACAUAGAACACCAAUUGCGAAGGCAGCGCACUACGGGAUUAGUGACACUGAGGCACGAAAGCGUGGGGAUCAAACAGG